ACUGGAGACAUGAUCACCAAUAAUUGAUACAUGUCCAACAUCUUGCAGAUGAUGACACCUUUGAAGAGACCGAUGACUCAGCAGCAGAAACUGCAGAGGCUAACGAUGAAGCCCAAAACGACUCUGCUGAUGACAGCGACAACGUGGAGAACGAAGAGUCUGUAGAGUCUGAAAAUGACGAUACAGAGGAGGCAGCAGUACCUGCAGCAAAGGAUGAUGACACCUUUGAAGAGACCGAUGACUCAGCAGCAGAAACUGCAGCGGCUAACGAUGAAGCCCAAAACGACUCUGCUGAUGACAGCGACAACGUGGAGAACGAAGAGUCUGUAGAGUCUGAAAAUGACGAAACAGAGGAGGCAGCAGUACCUGCAGCAAAGGAUGACGGCGCUAACGAUGAUACCAAUGAAGAGGAUGAUACCAGUAAUGACGAUGAU